rnacentral:rRNA from 1 species
CCAAUAGCGUAUAUUAAAGUUGUUGCAGUUAAAAAGCUCGUAGUUGAAUUUCGGGAUCAGUACGCUGGUCGUGCCUUCGGUAUGUACUGGUGUUACUGGUUCCUACCUUCUGACGAACCGUCAUGUCAUUAAUUUGGGGUGGCGGGGAAUCAGGACUGUUACUUUGAAAAAAUUAGAGUGUUUAAAGCAGGCUCGGGCUUGAAUACAUUAGCAUGGAAUAAUGAAAUAGGACGUUCGAUCCUAUUUUGUUGGUUUCUAGGAUUGACGUAAUGAUUAAUAGGGAUAGUUGGGGGCAUUAGUAUUCAAUUGUCAGAGGUGAAAUUCUUGGAUUUAUUGAAGACUAACUACUGCGAAAGCAUUUGCCAAGGAUGUUUUCAUUAAUCAAGAACGAAAGUUAGGGGAUCGAAGACGAUCAGAUACCGUCGUAGUCUUAACCAUAAACUAUGCCGACUAGGGAUCGGAUGAUGUUAAUUUUUUAAUGACUCAUUCGGCGCCUUACG